CAUUAGGUGACUGAAAGCAAGUUGUGGUCUCUUAAACCAUUAAAUAGUAUAUUAGUGUUUACUUCUAAUGG
rnacentral:tRNA from 1 species